AAGGGCACCACAAGAACGCGUGGAGCAUGUGGCUUAAUUUGACUCAACGCGGGAAAUCUUACCGGGUCCGGACACACUGAGGAUUGACAGGCAAUAUUAAUUUCUGCAGCUUCGGCUAAAGUUAUUAUGUUAAAUAUGCUAGUCCUUUCAUGAUUAUGUGAUAGGUGGUGCAUGGCCGUUCUUAGUUCGUGGAGUGAUCUGUCUGCUUAAUUGCGUUUCACUAAGGGCCUAUAAAUUACGUGUGUUGCGGUACUUUGACCCCUCUUUUUUCACGAGAAGAGCGCGUGUCUUAGUUUGCUUAGCUCACACAAUUAGGUCCUGAAAGCAACGAACGUGACCGCAACCUCUUGUUGCCUUUAUACCAAACAUGGAUAUUCUCUUCGGAGGGUUUCAUGAAAAAAGGCUUUUUAAACUAGAGGGACCGCUGUUACUUUCUUAAACCAGAGGAAGGUUGCGGCAAUAACAGGUCUGUGAUGCCCUUAGAUGUUCCGGGCUGCACACGUGCUACAAUGAUUAUUGCAGUGAGCAUCUCAUUUUUUACACACCGCAUACGCGAGUCCAUUUAUUCACUCUCGGGUGCUUUAAAUGUGCAUCUCUGCGAGCGGUAAAGCCUGCUUCGAAAGUAAGUGGGUAAUCAAUUAGAAGUAAUGAUUUCCUUUUUUUCUAGCACACAUAUAUACGGCGUUUAUACCCGGGCUGCCUUGUUGUAGCUUUUGUGCGUAUAGAUGUUUUUUCCGUAUGUGCGAUUGUCAAUUCAUGGUGGGGACAGACCAUUGUUAAUUGUUGGUCUCGGUCUUAACUAGGAAUGCCUUGUACGGGUCUUUGGUUCAACAAACCACCCGGAAUACGUCCCUGCCCUUUGUACACACCGCCCGUCGCUCUUACCGAUGGACUUCUCUGUGAGUUUGAGGGACUGGGAACGCAGGUUUUUUAUUAAAUCUGCACACCUAUGGAAACUUAAACGAACAGUGUGGUCUAAAGGAAAGAGAAGUCGAACAAGGCAU
rnacentral:rRNA from 1 species